rnacentral:rRNA from 1 species
ACUCCUACGGGAGGCAGCAGUGGGGAAUAUUGGACAAUGGGCGCAAGCCUGAUCCAGCAAUGCCGCGUGAGUGAGGAAGGCCUUAGGGUUGUAAAGCUCUUUCGGCGGGGACGAUGAUGACGGUACCCGCAGAAGAAGCCCCGGCUAACUUCGUGCCAGCAGCCGCGGUAAUACGAAGGGGGCGAGCGUUGUUCGGAUUUACUGGGCGUAAAGGGCGCGCAGGCGGCCAUUAUUUGUCGAGUGUGAAAGCCCCGGGCUUAACCUGGGAACUGCGCUCGAAACGGGAUGGCUUGAGGUCGGGAGAGGAGCGUGGAAUUCCCAGUGUAGAGGUGAAAUUCGUAGAUAUUGGGAAGAACACCGGUGGCGAAGGCGGCGCUCUGGACCGAUACUGACGCUGAGGCGCGAAAGCGUGGGGAGCAAACAGGAUUAGAUACCCUGGUAGUCCACGCUGUAAACGAUGUGUGCUAGACGUUGGGGAGCCUAGCUCUUCGGUGUCGCAGCUAACGCGGUAAGCACACCGCCUGGGGAGUACGGCCGCAAGGUUAAAACUCAAAUGAAUUGACGG